rnacentral:rRNA from 1 species
UACGGAGGGGGCUAGCGUUGUUCGGAAUUACUGGGCGUAAAGCGCACGUAGGCGGCUUGGUAAGUUAGAGGUGAAAGCCCAGGGCUUAACCCUGGAAUUGCCUUUAAGACUGCAUCGCUAGAAUCGUGGAGAGGUGAGUGGAAUUCCGAGUGUAGAGGUGAAAUUCGUAGAUAUUCGGAAGAACACCAGUGGCGAAGGCGGCUCACUGGCCUGGUAUUGACGCUGAGGUGCGAAAGCGUGGGGAGCAAACAGG